GGAAAGGACAAAAAAGAAAGGGACCUGGCGGCCAGUAGCCUCCAAUGGCUGCUGGCCGACGCACUCACAUUCCCAGACCUGACCCUGGAGUCUGUGAGAACCAUCAUCCCUCCCGAGUUGUCCUGGCUCUGCUCCCGAACCAGUGAAGAAGAGCUGGUGAUAGAAGAUCUGGAAUAGAAAGAAUCAAAAUGCUUUCUGGACAGCGAGGGAGGGAGGGAGCACCGUUUGUUGCUUUGUGUAUGUU